rnacentral:lncRNA from 1 species
GGUAUGUUUAGAUCUAAAAUUGAUUUUUAAAAAUUCUAAAAUUUUUUAUAUAUAUGAUAUAUGAUUGCAUGAAUAUUUUAAAAGUAUUUCAAGAAUCAAAAAAUUACUUUUUAUGUAAUUAAUUUAGAUCUAAAAUCUGUUUCAAUGAUCUGAAAUUAAUGUGUGCAUGAAUCAUUGGGCAUGGAUAGUUUUGUAUUAGAUCAAUAAAUUGCAUCUUAGGUUGUAAUUAGAUCAUAUUGAAUUGAAAUUGA